rnacentral:piRNA from 1 species
UCCUGUGUACACUGGUGACAAUGGACCAAGU